UUAACUAUUAUAUAGUACUCAGACAGUAAUAAAUUCAAGAGUUUGGUCCUCUCCGGGGGUUUAAGCCCGGAAAGCAACAUAGUAUAUAGUCACGGGUGGGAGAGCGGUACUUUCUUUCGAUUUCCCGCAAAUACUCCUUAAUGAUCCUUCCGCAGGUUCACCUACGGAAA
rnacentral:misc_RNA from 1 species